rnacentral:RNase_P_RNA from 1 species
UGAGUCGGCCGGGUGACCGCGGCGUCGGGCUCCGGGUCCGCCCGGGUUCACGGCGUCGAGGAAGGUCGGGGCUCCACAGGUCAGGGUGCUGGCUAACGGCCAGUCGGGGCGACCCGCAGGAUAGUGCCACAGAAAACAGACCGCCGAUGGGCCGCUCGUCGGCCACAGGUAAGGGUGAAACGGUGCGGUAAGAGCGCACCAGCGACCGGGGUGACCCGGCGGCUAGGUAAACCCCACCCGGAGCAAGGUCAAGACGGAGAGACGGGUCGACCGCCCCUGGCCCCCGGGCCGGUAUCUCCGGGUAGACCGCACAGAUGGAUGGUCACCGAAUGGGACCCUGGUAACAGGCCCAGGAACAGAACCCCGCCUACAAGCCGGCUCACCCA